AAUCAUUUCUAUAGCAACCAGUUGACUUUUUAAGGCGUAUAAAAAGUGCUUAUUUGUCAAAAAAUUAUUAUAUGGCACAUAUUUUUUGGACACGUAACGGAAAAUUUUUGUGACAAGUAUUUUUAUUCAAAAGAGAUAAUAAAUCAAAGUUUGCAAAGGCAAAAAGAUGAUCGACAAAAAUUCAAUAAAUUUGUUUAAAAGGAUUACCAACUUGAAACAGAGUGCUUUCUACUGUUCAUACUCGGCUAAAACAAAAGAGGUUUUUGAACGCGAGGAUAACUUUGGAGCGCACCAUUUUGCUCCACUUCCAGUGGCAUUGUGUAAAGGGAAAGGGGUGUACGUAUGGGAUGUUGAUGGGCGUCGUUAUUACGAUUUUCUCAGUGGAUUUUCUGUUUUAAACCAAGGACAUUGCCACCCUAAAAUUAUAGAUGUGCUUAAAACGCAAGCUGAAAAACUAACUUAUACAUCAAGAGCAUUUUACAGUGAAGCUCUUGGAGAGUUUCAAGUAUACGCAACUAAACUAUUUGGGUAUGAUCGUAUAUUACCAAUGAACACUGGUGUUGAAGGAGGAGAAACUGCAUGCAAACUUGCACGCAAAUGGGGCUAUAGAGUAAAAGGCAUUCCUGAAAACCAAGCAAAAAUUAUAUUUGCUGAAAAAAACUUUUGGGGAAGAACCUUAGCAGCAUGCUCAUCUUCAUCUGACUCGGAUAUUAAAAAUGACUACGGCCCAUACAUGCCAGGGUUUGAAAUGGUUCCUUAUAACAACUUAAAUGCACUUGAGGAAAAGCUUAAAGAUCAAAACACAUGUGCUUUUAUGGUUGAGCCCAUACAGGGAGAAGCAGGAGUUAUAAUUCCUGACGAUGGUUAUCUUACAAAAGUUCGCGAGUUAUGCACCAAGUAUAACGUUUUGUGGAUAGCAGACGAGGUACAAACAGGGUUAGGACGAACAGGAAAGUUGCUUUGUAUUAAUUACGAAAAUACACGCCCCGAUAUCCUCAUUUUAGGAAAAGCAUUGUCUGGAGGGAUUAUGCCAAUAUCAGCGGUAUUAGCCGAUAAUGAUAUCAUGUUAUUGUUUAGGCCUGGUCAGCAUGGGUCUACAUUUGGUGGAAGCGCUAUUGCUUCUAAAGUUGCAGUUGCAUCUCUUGAGGUUUUAAUAGAAGAAAAGCUUGCUGAAAACGCAAUGAAAAUGGGAAACAUAUUCAGAAAAGAGCUGACAGCAAAACUAAAUCCAAACAUAGCCACAGUAAUUCGUGGAAAAGGAUUGCUUAACGCUGUUGUUGUUCCUAAAACUAAAGGUUUCUUUUUAUCUGUGCUUUACUGUUAAGCUUGCAUAAAAGAUAUUAAAAAAAAUCAGACAAUGUUAAAUUAAACAUUAUAAAUGGCAUUUCCUUAGUACUUUUCAAUUGCUCAGGAAUGGUAUUUAUAAUGUUUGCUUUUAAAAAUUACUUUAAUUUUAUGUUAAUCUUAAGAAUUCUAUUGAUUGGCUUAUUGAUUGGCAACCUAAAUUUAAUCAUGACUGCCUAUGUUACUUUUGUUCUCAAAUUAAAUAAGUUUGCAAAUAAGUCUAAGUUUGCAAACACAGUUAUUAAAAGAUUAUUAAGUUAUAUUAGGAGUAAGAAAUACUUUGGUUUACUGAGAAAAUCGGGAAGAACGGUUGUCAAUGUCAAAGCUGUAGGGGUUGUGAAUACUUUUUAAGAAGUGACAGCAUAGAAAAAUGUAAUGUUGAAUAUACUAUAUUGGUAACUUAAUAGCCAUUGAUAAAAAACGUGUUUUUAGAUUAUGAUGCCUACUCUGCAUGUCUACGUCUCCGCGAUAACGGGCUUCUUA
rnacentral:misc_RNA from 1 species